AGCGAACGUUUGCGGCGGGCUUAACACAUGCAAGUCGAACGGGCUGUUCCUUCGGGGGCAGUCAGUGGCGCACGGGUGCGUAACACGUAGGUAAUCAACCCUCUGGUUGGGGAUAACACUUCGAAAGGAGUGCUAAUACCCGGUAUGGCGCAGCGGUCUUCGGAUCGCGGCGAGAAAGACCCGCAAGGGUUGCCAGAGGACGAGCCUGCGGCCCAUCAGCUAGUUGGCGAGGUAACGGCUCACCAAGGCGAAGACGGGUAGCUGGUCUGAGAGGAUGAUCAGCCACACUGGAACUGAGACACGGUCCAGACUCCUACGGGAGGCAGCAGUGGGGAAUUUUACACAAUGGGCGAAAGCCUGAUGUAGCAACGCCGCGUGGAGGAUGACGGAUUUAGGUCUGUAAACUCCUUUUAUAGGGGAAGAAAUUUGACGGUACCCUAUGAAUAAGCGCCGGCUAACUCCGUG
rnacentral:rRNA from 1 species